rnacentral:rRNA from 1 species
CAGUAGCCGCGGUAAUACAGAGGGUGCGAGCGUUAAUCGGAUUUACUGGGCGUAAAGCGUGCGUAGGCGGCUUCUUAAGUCGGAUGUGAAAUCCCUGAGCUUAACUUAGGAAUUGCAUUCGAUACUGGGAAGCUAGAGUAUGGGAGAGGAUGGUAGAAUUCCAGGUGUAGCGGUGAAAUGCGUAGAGAUCUGGAGGAAUACCGAUGGCGAAGGCAACCAUCUGGCCUAAUACUGACGCUGAGGUACGAAAGCAUGGGGAGCAAACAGGAUUAGAGACCCCCGUAGUCCCUGUCUCUUAUAC